GCAAUAUUUACAGAUGCUUUGGGGACACAUCAGCACCGCGACAUUACAACUACUGGCUGUCGGCCCUCGGACACAUUUAAGAGAAGAGAGAGGCUCGCUUUCUUUUCUCAGGUGAUACAUCGACAUUUUUGUAUCCCGCUCCUGGCAGUCUUUCCUCGUUCUCUAGUACUUUUUGGAAAGGGUCUGCACCGUAGAUUUUCUUUCUAACACAUCACCAAGCUCCUACUUCCCUCUGCAUCUCCAGUCAGUAUGUUCGUUCUUCAAGAGUUCUUUUGGUAAAGCUGGCUGUCCGAAACUAACGCUGAACCAAACCCACAUGUGGAUUGUGGCAUGAGGAAACCAUGGUCAGGAUGACUGGGGCAGGUCUCCAUCUUGGGGCUGAGCCUUUUAAGAGGGAAUGGGUUGGUGCCCUUUCCCGAGAACAGGUUUUUCUUGUACAGUCAUUAGCAUGUCUAGUGCUUCCUGUUCAUAGCAGUUCCAACACGGGGCUUUCUAGAAGGACUGUUGCGUCCAGUGGGGCCCAAGCAAGAGAAGGGGUGGUUUGGGUGCCUAGAGGCCCAACACAGCAGGCCAAUGUACAACGCCCCAAGCCACCAAUUUGGGUUUUAUUGAUGCCACUCCAACCUCUGGACUCUCCCUGGAAGGGAGAGGGUCCUGACAUGAUGCCAGAGUUAGGGACAAGUGCUCAGAAUGGGAAGUUUUCCCAUAUAUGGGAUUAGACUAAAUUCAAUGUGAUUUCUUUUUCCCCUUGCAAAUCCUAUUCAGGUUGGGACUCAUUUCUUUCUGGUGGAUCACAGCUGCCCAGAUGUGUAGAUUGGUUUCUGUGUCCUGUAGACAAGUCCUUUUCUCUCAUCUUCAGCAGGGUUUUUUAUUUCGUUUUUUUGCCACCAAAAGAAAACAUCGGAACAUACGUCCCCUCUUAGUUGUGACUUUGCAUUGUUGACAGUUCAGUUCUCUGUGUUGUAGGUCCCAGCCCACCAGUACUCUAUCAAACACUGUUAGGCACAUGAUGCAGCACUGUGAUCUAAUUUAAAUAAUACUUUUUUAUUAUUUAUACUACUAUAUAUAAUAUACAUCAACACUUUUGCUAUAUAACCUAAGUGAUAAACCCUUUUUUUGGUUACCUGUCAGACUCUAGACUUUGGUCCCUAUUGCAGUUAACACAGUUACAGAAUUGUAAUGGUGUCUUGUUUUAUUUUUUUGUUUUUGUUUCUUUUCCUUCUUUUCCCUUUGUAACGGAAUGUGUAAAUCAAAGUAUAUACAUUGUGUGUUGUUCCUGUUUCUUGGGAUGUCAUGAGGAGUUACACACAGCAUUCAGUGUUCUGUAUAGACCUGCCCACCUUCGUGAAUUCAUCUGUUAACUCCUCCUCCUCUGAGAGCGCGCCAGCCACGGUGGCUAACUCCCAGCGUCCUCUCUCCUGCUGGCUAUUCUUGAAUUAAGCACAGACUCGUCCACUCGGUUGCUUUAUCAUGAAUAAUGGGCGUGACUUGGUCACUCUUCUACCCUUCAGCAAACAAGUGCUAGCUUCUUCGCUGACCAAAAAUUAAGGAAGGAAAACACCAUUUUCAAAACGAUCCACCUUUUCACGGCCGAGACGGAUGUUAGUCUACGGUGCUGCCUCGCGCUGUCGAGCCUCUGGAAUGAGCCCGCUGUGGAAUGACCAUUUCUGACUUGCUAUGGGAUGCUCACAAGUACCCUUCCUGUCUCGUUAGUAUUGGAAUCAAGACUCAUUAUUUGGAAUCUAUACAGCAGUGUUCCUCCACUGUGUUUCAUUUGCAAAAGUAGAGAACAUGCCUUCUCCACCCUUUUGCAAAUAAAUGAUACUCCAUAUUGGAUUCUCAAAAGACUUCGAUAUGGUGAUCCUGUCAAACCUAGAAAUUGUAUUAUCUUUUCAUACCUGACUUCCCCCACUUCUCCUGUUUUAGAGGAAACAGCACACUUUCAGUUACGGACACAGUCUCCAUUUCUAGAGUAUGUGUGUUGCAGCCAUCCAAGGUCAUAGCUGGCUCAGCCAGACUCAUGCCAUUGUUCUCACUGCCUGUCCUACCAUGGUGCACAUGGGGAGGGAAGAAGAAUGUGCGUCUGGGAAACAGCUACAUAGACUUUUUGUUUUUUUACUACUCUGAUUCUGUAACACUUCUGAGUUUUGUUCUAAUUUUACAGAAAACAAACAAGACCACAAUGAUAAAGCAGAAGCCCACAAGGUUUGUGGCUGAAUCUUAGAGUCACCCGACCUUUCCUGGCCAACAGGUCUACAUGGCCAAAUUUAUUUACAAGAGUAAUAAUUUCUUCAGAAGCCAAUUUUUUUUCUGUAUUUCUGUACAAAACUGCCAAUAUCAUGAACAGAAGGGGAGAACCGUAAAGGAGAAAGCAAGUGAUGUUCGGUGGCGUUUGCAUUAGCCUAAAGCAGCGGUGUGACGAUGACUCCAUCAGCCGAGCUCCAGGGACUUGGUGUUGCUUGGGAGGGAUCCAUACAGCAUUUUGCGUUCUUCAUGUGUAAUCAUAUUGCCAAAGACAAACUACUUCAUCAUUUAUUGUAAAUAACACUUCCCCAGACCUACCAUAAAGUUUCUGUGAUGUAUUGUCUUCCAGUUGCAAUAAAAAUGACUGAGUUGCAUCAAUUGAA
rnacentral:lncRNA from 1 species